CCGGAAUUAAAAAGUAGAGCUAUAUUGUUGUUGUUGUUGUUCUCGCAGGUUAACUUUAUCCCAGGUCACCACCGUCCAUCAACUAGGGGCGCAAUGCCUUCCACCAUCGGAAGGACUUUUGACCCUCAUGGGUAUCGAUCCCGGGAUCUCCCGGGGGCAAUGGUCGCGCCUUACCAGUGGUGCCAAACCCUAUGAAUUGGGUGUGUAUAUAUUGUCAUAACGUCAUAUCAUACAAGUAGAGAUGGUGUGCGCGCACACAGACGCACAUACAUACAUCCAAGGCGACGGCUGGCAGAGGUUAAGGCCUGACUUCUGCUCCCGGCCGACCCGGGUUCAAAUCCGCCUGCCGGCUCCUCGGGUGUUUGAGGAGUGUUGAAAUGGGAGUGGCCCCCCAUCAUAUGGACGAUGUAGGACGUGAUAAAAUCAACUUGCGAGCUAACCAGGAACUAAGGUGAUGCGCCGUUGAUCCGCUAGAUUUGGUUGGAUGCUGGUGGUGAGUUGCCGAACCCAACGAAUACAUUCUGAAGUCGAAUGGGGUGACGGAUUAGGGUGCCACUCUAGCAGGGGAGAGCAGGGACUGCCCCGGGAAAGGGGGCCGCUGGCGAAGUUAACCACCCUGUAACAACAUACAUACAUACAUACUCACCCUCUGACCAGGGCUCCCGCAGCUAUCGCCUCCUUCGCCACCUUCUCAAAGCGCCUGCGGGCACGCUAACAGCCGCAAAUGUGUAUGUCUGUAUGUCACGGGAAACAGCGAAACGGAGUCGUCGAGCGCAAUCAGUCCCUCUUCACACUCCCGCACGCCUUGGUCUCCCAGCUAUCACCUGCCCGCUGCCUGCCUACUUCCCUCCCUUUCCCCCCACACUACCACCCUCCCUCCCUCCCACACCCCUCCAUGGGCUCUUCCACAUUCCGUUCCGUACACCAGCCCCUUCCGUACACCAGCCCCUUCCGUACACCAGUCCGUUCCUUACACCAGUCCGUUCCGUACACCGCUCUCACUUGAGGCUUUCCGCCACAUUGCAGUUGAUGUUCCGCUUACUGAAGGACUCACUGGCCGCUGCGAACACCGCCACCUCGCCACACUGGGAGGCUAGGGCGCCUGCGAGUCCCUGUCGGAGGCGGCGUGGAGGAGGAGGUCGGGGUCAGGUAGACCGCGAGGCAUGUGGGGUAGAUCGGCAAGGGGCAUGCGGGUCGGAAGAGCAGGGGGGUGUUGUUAAUGAUGACGAUGAUAAUGGCGAUGAUAAUGGUGAUGAUGAUGAUGGUGAUGAUAAUGGCGAUGAUGAUGAUGAUGAUGAUGGUGAUGAUGAUGAUGGUGGUGGUGAUGAUGAUGAUGAUGAUGAUGAUGGUGAUGAUGAUGAUGGUGAUGAUGAUGAUGGCGAUGAUGAUAAUGGCGAUGAUGAUGGUGAUGACGAUGAUAAUGGCGAUGAUAAUGGUGAUGAUGAUGAUAAUGGCGAUGAUGAUGGUGAUGAUGAUGAUGGCGAUGAUGAUGGUGAUGACGAUGACAAUGGCGAUGAUGAUGGUGAUGAUGAUGAUGGUGAUGAUGAUGGUGAUGAUGGUGAUGAUGAUGGUGAUGAUGAUGGUGAUGAUGAUGGUGAUGAUGAUGGUGAUGAUGGUGAUGAUGAUGGUGAUGAUGAUGGUGAUGAUGAUGGUGAUGAUGAUGGAAGUGUGCUACAGCCAUGAUAGCAGCGACAACAACAGCAGCAACAAUUAGAAAAACUACUACAGAAACAACCAAGUUAAAGGCCAUGAUAAUAUUAAUAAACACGUGUGUACUGUUGGGCGUCCUAAUUGUAUGUUGUAUUCAUUUUCAUUGUAACAUUCUCCAUAUCAAUUACGUAGCAAGGACACAAUGUGCCGCGUACCUGCAUGUUGGGGACUAAUACGGGGUACGACACUCCUGCUUGCCGCUUAAUCCGCGCCAUCACCUCCUUGGCAUCACCCAGCUGCGGAACCCACUUGGGGGAUACAAAGCUGGUGGCCUCGAUUUUCUGCAUGCGUGACAGCAAACUUGUACGGCGUAACUGUACGGGAAUCUGGCACGGUAUCAGGAGAUGCCACCAGGGGCUUUGCGCGGACUGAUCUGGGCUGCUCCACAAUUUAAACUGAACGGCCAACGAACCCGGCGUUUCUUCCCCCCGGCCGACGGUCCCCAAGAAUCCGGGCAUAGACACCUGAUAUCAACCUGCGCAAAUUAUAGGAGCUGCACAAACACACCUUAAAGCCUGCAUUAGUCAGCAUGUCAAUAAAGGCGACCUUGACAUCUGUGGGAAUUGCCUGCGAAGGGAUGGAGAGAAACGAAAGCGUUGCAAACGAUUAAGGUGUCGCGGUGCAUGUGUAUCAAAGGGAAACAUACAUAUGCCACACCUUUUGCUCAUUUUGGAGGCCAUCGCGCGGGCCAACCUCGUAGAUGGUGACCCUAGUCGGGAGGCCAUUCGCGGCAGCUGAUGGCUGGGAGUGUAGUAGUGCUUGGAGCGCUGCCCUAGAUGAUGUGCUGAUUUGGUUAUCAGAUGAAGCGUAUCUGCGAAAGUUGCCCGCAGAGGUUGCGCAAAGUCGCUGUAAUACCUGCAUGACAAUCCUGUUUUCCUGCAGGGUUCUGACAACCGACAAUUUUUUUCCUUCACGCUACGGUUUAUUUAUGGCGCUUAUCUAAAUGACCGGGCUGUACGCAGCGACCUGUUGCACACGAGUAGCCGAGCCUCCGCUGUGGAACUUCACGUACGGCAGGGGAAAAAGGUUUCAGGGUUGUGGUGAAAGACACCCCUGACAUUACCAGUUGGUGUUAAUACUACUCAAGAUGCCGAAUGGACGUGUGGAGUUGCAAUCCAACGACAUUGUUUACCUGCUCAGCCCUCCUGCCCAAUUGCCAGGACAAAUCGGCCAUGAUUCAUUAAACAACCUGCGUAGUUAUCAAAAUGUGUAUUUGAUGCCUAGUAAUUUAAUGUGUCGUAGAUUCGCGUAUCAGCGAAGAACCUUUGUACCCUUUAGCAAACCGGACGAGCACCAAGGAUUCCCCGCAGGUACAUCAUGGUCAUUUUAAUUCAGGAACCGGUACGUAUAACAUAGGUAUUGAUGGCGUUGGCGAAACAUGGUGUCAGAGAAAACUGUUGUGACCUCCGCCAGCCCCAACAUGGCACCGCUGGGUUGUGUUCAGGCGCUGCUUGCUUCCCUUGCGACAUGUCGCUGGCCGAUUUAAGCUGAAGCGAAAGAGAUCAAUCCUACUUACUCGGUGGUGCUUCGUGUUUUUUGGCCGCGUCAAGGCAGCCUCAGCAACGCCCACCGCCUCGAAAGGCUUGACCAAAUCAGCCCACAGCAAGCUUGGCCGGGGUAUUAGAUAGUAUGGGUGCUUGCCUUUGUAAGACAUACGACGACCGGAGCGACGCUUCAGGCCGUCGGGACCCUUCCCGGAAGCGCUCGCGCAGCGGCUACGGGGCAGGCAGCGGGCGCUCAUGUGUCGAUCGUAAUGGCAGUAGACAUCUUGUACCGGUUCCGGAUUUCGGCAUCAGCUCUCUGUACCGUGUCAUGGAGCUCCUCGGGGAGGGCGGCACCGGUCAGACAUGGCUAUGUCAGGACCUAAAAACUCACAGACGAGUUGCUAUUAAAUUCAUUCCAAGGUAAUAUUCCAUGCAAAUGCCCUGGAACUUUAAUUAGACCACCCCUUCGUCUUGCGGCGAGAGAACCUACCUAUGGCAUCGGCCUGCCACUCGCUCAAAACCCCAAGUAUGUUUCCACCCUUUCUCAGCGCUCUCCACUCUUUUCCUUCUUUCCCCUUUUUUCCUGCGUCAAUUGUCGGGCCAGAUAUUGGAUUCCUCGCUUUAUGCAUUUCCAAUAUAUUUUCAAAUCCGCUCUCGCUUUCCGGAUUCAGCCCCUUACCCUCCCAGUUCUCCGGUUUUCCAGCCAAGGAUGGUUUUCUUGUUUUCAUUUGAAAUUCUUGUUUCUCUCCUGUUCCCGUGCUCCAAUCCUCUCGAAACACAAUAACAGGCCUCUGGCCAAGGUGCUCAUCCCUAUGGUCAGCCAGGAAAUCCAGGUACGGCACAUUUACGAGCUUGUGAAGGUCGUCAUUCCUAAAAUAUAAAGGACACCCCAGUCGCAAUUUCAGAAAACCCUAAUUGGCCUCAAUUCACCCUCUUACUUUAUUCCACGCCUAUAGCACUCCCAGAGAGCGAGAGCUCCGAAACCAUGUCACGUUGCAUCCCCUUACACAAAGACCCACAUCAUCAUCAUCAUCAUCAUCAUCACUCAUCAUCAUCAUCACUCAUCAUCAUGGGGCAUCUGGGCUUGUGUUCCCCGCACUCCAUAUCCCAUUUCCAUGGAAAGUGACCGACACUCAUACAUACGUACAUACGUACAUACAUACAUACCAGCAGCGGAAUGUGACAGCAGUAAUAGGACCCGAGGGGUCCCCGGCGUUUUUGCCGAUCCCAACAAGCCGGUUGUAUGUAUGUAUGUGUCGUUGUGUUUAAAUGAUCUGGGCCGUCGUGAGGUAAAGGCCGAUACUGCUACGCGGACAAGUUUCCCGAAGUGAGAUAGAUCGUAGUCACCAGCGACACAUGCUAAACACAUACUGAACAGUUAUUGAGCAGGUGUUCCCCACAGAAGAGUGAUAUCAAGGGCCCUCAGGAACAAGCUGUGCUGUCACAAUCUGUAAAAUUUGUGAGCAGUAGUGUCCAUAGUGUCCAUAGACCGUGUUGUAUCACGACUUUUUCGGAAAAGAACCCGAUCCGACCUCAGGAUCCGGUGAUAAGCCCUCCAGGAUACUACAGAUCAUUCUUCUUCAAGCUUACCAAAGAUAUCAUGGCACGGCCUCUAGACCAUGCUAUACAAAAUGAAUCUAAAGACGAUGUAUAUUUCUGGGUCCUAUCUAUUAGACGAUGAUCCUGUCUACAGACGAUAUAAAGAAUUAUUUUAACGACGGUAGCGGUGAUGGCGACUGGGUGCUGGUGGACGGCUAGGAUCAGCCAUAAGCAUCAAGGAUAUCUAAAGGUCCAAUUAGGUGGAACAAUGAGGCAACUAGGAAACCCGUAAGGGGACAACCCUUUAGUUCCCCUUUAGGGGAUGACGGUAGGAACUACGGGGCUGUUUUCCUAUCUAUUUUCCUAAGGAUGCUCUGGCGGACAAAGCAGAGGGUCAUCCUGCUACAGUGACGACAAGCUCAGGGUAGUGCCCCCGCCGCCGCCACCGCCGCCGCCGCCACCGCCGCCGCCGCCACCGCUGGCACAUGCAACCAAACCUUUUUAUGAAAGCAUAGAAGGUUGACCGACCUGUUAACGAAGGGAAAAUGACAUUGGCGGUUAUCAUGUGUGUGAGUGUUUGCGUGUGUUUUUGUGUUUUUCUGCCUCCUCCCCCCGGGUCCCAGCUCCAAGCCCAGCUGUCGGAAGGCCACUUGGGCCUGGUCCGCAUGGAGUCCGCACUGCUCAGCAAAUCUCAUCUGGGUCUGGUAAGCGAGUGGGGGGGGGGGGGGGAAAGAGGCCAGGCGGGGGAAGAGGCCAGGCGGGGGGGGAAGGGGGGGGAAAGAGACCAUGCGGGCCCCGGUCGGGGGGCCGGGGGAUAUUUAGCGGGGACGGUAGGGAGGCAGUUUCCGUUUCAUAAGUCGUCUUUGAGACAGCAUCUCCUUGCUUUGUGCUCCGGUUUUUUGUGGUAGGAUUGGAGCCGUCUUUGUGCAUUCUCUUUGAAGCAUUUCCUUGCGCAUUCUUGUGUGUGUGCGGUAUGCCGGUCAAUUCAACACAAUGGCGAUAUCGAAAGAUAGCUACCGAUUGAGGCAAACGAUGGAUUUUGGUUAAGUGGUAUCGCAGCAGACUCCAUUUGCAUCGCGCUGCAUGUAGAGAGGGAGCCACCGAACCCCCUGCCUUCCUCCUCUAGCCUCAAACAAAGCAAUUCCCUUUGGCAUGUGUAAAGUAUGUAUGUAUGUAUGUAUGUGUGUAUGACUUAGAUUACACUGUGGGCCGCGAGAGCCGGGGGCCGAAGCCGAAUGUGUGUAUGUAUGUGUACAUGUAAAUGUAUACAAAUAUUCCAGGUCAUGGAGUAUGUUGAUGGGGGCACUCUAACCCAGUACGUCACCAAGCGUUCACACAACAAGGGAGAGCGGGGCGGACUGCACCUCACAGAAGAUGAGGCACGCUACUUCUUCCGCGUGAGUCAGGAAGGGGCGUCAGGGUUUUGCCGUGUCGCGGUUUAUUGUUUGCUUAUGUAUGGAAGUGGGUUGGGAGGGAAUGCUGCGUGAAAUCCCUGAAUGCCUUCAUUUUGCACACCAACGGUAAUGGCGGGAACUACUUCAAAAAAUCCUCAUGUCUUGGUUUGUUGCCAGCAGCCCCAACUGCUACUACUGCUGCUGCUACUACUGCUACUGCUGCUGCUAUCACUGUGCUGGCGCGGGGCCGUCAGUAUCGCAUGUAUAGCUAGAUGAUUAAAGUUUUACUGACGGCCCCGCGCCGAGGGCUGGCUUAUUUUUUAUUUUUUAUUUACUUUUCCUUCACUUCCUCUUUAUUUAACAUCCCCAUGUUGGUUCCCCAUGCCUAACAUACAUCCCCCUACACACAACUGUGCUUCGGCACAAAUGUUAAAAUUGGAAAAAUAUAGAGAAGAUUAGCAUGGCCCCUGCGCAAGGAUGACACGCACAAAUCGAGAAAUUGCUCCAAAUUUUAAGGGACCAUGCCCCAGCGACUUCAUCAUGUGCUCAUGCGUUUUCGGUUAGGCUGUCGGGAGUUAGAGGUUAAUAGGCCUAAUGGGCGUGUGCGCACCGCGCGUACCUGCAGGCUUUGUGAGUGUGGAGCGGUUGAAGAUGAGUUGCAUGUUUUCGAAGAAUGUCCCGCUUACAAGAGCAUACGGGCUAAGUAUGAUGGUGACCUAGUCCUUACGGGGCGCAGCAUGCGCACCAUUAUGACUGAGGCGCCACCCCUGGCAUUUGCCAGGUACCUCUCGGAAAUUUGGGAGGCCAGGCACGUCGCGCUGAGGCGCUUCGCCCUGAAGCGGACGAGGGAGAAUGAAGAUGACCUCCCGCGUACCCGCAUCAAUACCAAUACAACGUCCAUGGCCCCCCCGGCUUUUACGGACACACCCGCACUUGUGUGCGGAACUUGUAACUUGUAACACAACGAAUCCAACCGUCCAUCCAACCAACCGCCCAUCCAACCAACCGCCCAUCCAACCAACCGUCCAUCCAACCAACCGCCCAUCCAACCAACCGUCCAUCCAACCAACCGUCCAUCCAACCAACCGUCUAUCCAACCAACCGUCUAUCCAACCAACCGUCCAUCCAACCAACCGUCCAUCCAACCAACCGUCCAUCCAUCCCCCCCAACGCAUGCCUGCGUGCAGCUGCUGAUCUCGGCCGUGGAGUACUUGCACUCCUCGCAUGUGGCUCAUAGAGGUAGGUCCAUCUGUAUUGAGCCUCAUCCAAUCACGCAGUAAUGGUGGUGUCGAAAGAUGCCAAAAUAAUGAAAUGCCAAGUGUUUAUUAUACACAAGUGUAUAUUUUUUGGUGUUGUAGUGUUACAUACCUGGAGCUAGGGUUGUAUAUUCGUUAAUAAAUGUAUCUGUACCGGUGUGUUUCUGUAUAUAUAUGUUUUUCUCACUACUAAUUCGCGGUUGUUCGCAUAUCGGUGCUGGUCACUUGUGUGCUGGUCUUACAUCGUUCCACCUUUUUUGUUGUUUUACAUAUGGCACAUUUAACCACCUCUUUGUGUAUGUACGGCAUGUCGUACAUACGCGUGUUUCCCGUAUGUUUCUUCGUCCGAUCCUUUGAUGCUGUACGGAACUUAGAUUUGAAGAUGUGCAACGUGGUGCUGACUCAGCGACGGCCGCCGACCCUGAAGCUGUGUGACUUUGGAUUCGCGAAGGGGUGGGACGAGUCCAGCAUGAUGAACACCCGCAUCGGCACACCCGUGUACAUGAGCCCGCAGGUACGGGUGAGGGUAAGGGGUAAGACAAACCACGAGCGAGUGAAGGGAGGAGGAGGAGGGAAGGAGGAGGGGAGGGGGAGGGAAGAGGAGGAGGGGUAAGACGAAUCACUGCUGGCGAGUGAAGGAGAUACCAGAUUAAAUAGACGGAUGUAUUGCCCAGGGGAAGACAAAUGCUGCAGGAAGGGAGGGGGUUGAGGGUUUUAAGUGCGUGUGUGGGGGUUGGGGGGGAGUGUUGAAGAGUGAGGUGUGAAGGGUGUGAGGUAUGAUGAUGUGGUUAAAGUGGGGUGAUGGAGGUGGUGUCGUUGGCUGGCUGGAGUGGUUAGGGUUUUACGGUUUUACGGUUUUAAACCCUGCCCUGCCUUGCCUUGCCCUGCUUUUUCUUAUUUCUCUCCGCCUCCCUCCCUCGUCCCCCCUCCCGCCCUCCCUCCCCCCUUCCCUCCCUCCUUCGUCUUUCCCCCUCCCUCCCCCCGUGGCAGUUGACUCCUUGCUUCUUGCGUGUAUUCUUGUAUGUAUUCUUGCAUGUAUUCUUCCCACCGUUCACCAAAAAACCCUGCUUUGUCUGUCUGUCUGUCUGUCUGUCUUGUCCUCUAAAGUUGAUCGCUUCCAAGACGGAGGGUAAGAAGUACAGUGCCACAGCUGCCGAUGUAUGGGCGUGUGGUGUGAUGCUGUUUGCGAUGCUGCUCGGCCGCUUUCCGUACGACCAUGUGGGUCAUCCGGAUCCAAACAGCUCAGGCGCACACUACGAGGUAUGUACGACGUACGACAGUUUGAACCGGUCGUUUUUCUUUGUUUGGCUCCCUAGCUCAUCCUGCACCGCGCCACGAGCUCUUGUUCCACACACAUACAUACAUACACACAUCCUGACAUGUUGUGUCCUGACACCUCACCCCCCCAUUUCUGUAGUAGCUGGUUGACAAAGUGCGGCACACAUAUCAACUUUACAAAUACGCGCUCGAAGCGCUUUUGAUUCCAGCAUCUCUUCGGGAGGCCUUUUCAGGGGCCAGCUAAUACACAUUCGCACACAUCCACCCUCGUGCCCCUCCCUUCCCCGGCCCCCGCCCAGUUUUGUCCCGAUGAUUCCAACCCGCUCCUCUUCCUUCCCCCAAACACAUACACUCUCUUCCCCCCCCCCCAAGUCGGUCAGUUCUACGUCUGGUACACUCUUGCCCUGGCAGCAGCUUCAUUCGUUCACGUGGUUCGUCUUUUCCCCCCCCCCCCCCGUUCCGUCCCCCCCAGGUAUGGGCUGAGCAGAUGAAGGCCGGCGGUGGGGACUGGCAGGCUGCGCCCCGCGUGGCUCCCCACAUCAACCUGCUCAGUGAGGAGUGUAAGGACCUGCUGGGGCAGGUGCGUGGGUGGGUGGGAGGACACCCGCCGGGGUUUGGGGGGGGAGAAGANNNNNNNNNNNNNNNNNNNNNNNNNNNNNNNNNNNNNNNNNNNNNNNNNNNNNNNNNNNNNNNNNNNNNNNNNNNNNNNNNNNNNNNNNNNNNNNNNNNNNNNNNNNNNNNNNNNNNNNNNNNNNNNNNNNNNNNNNNNNNNNNNNNNNNNNNNNNNNNNNNNNNNNNNNNNNNNNNNNNNNNNNNNNNNNNNNNNNNNNNNNNNNNNNNNNNNNNNNNNNNNNNNNNNNNNNNNNNNNNNNNNNNNNNNNNNNNNUUCUGUGAGCAAAGACGAUUCCAGUAAAUUUAUGGAUUUCGGUAAGGCUGUCGUACAGAUUCAUGAUGUUCAGUUCCAGUGAAUUCUUACAAACGAUUCUUGACAGCCAGGUCAGUUUUCAGAAGAUUUCAUGAUCAUAAUUGAUUCGCAUAUUUCGUGAUAAGCUCAUCAUUACUGUGCAGCUAUCGCGCUACAACAAGAGCUGAGUACAACUACACGACCACGGACCAAGAGUGUUUAGGAACUGUCCUAGCACUUGAAGAGUGGCGCUGUUACCUCGAGGGUGCAUCGGAUGUCACUUUAGUCACCGAUCACCAACCGCUGGUCUAUUUGCAAGAUCAGCAAAGCGCCGAUAAACUCUCUCGACGACAAGCUCGUUGGUUGGAACGCCUCUCACGUUUCGACUUUAAAUGGGAGUACCGACCCGGACGAAUCAACGUUGCUGACCCUCUCAGUCGGGUUCACGACGUGGUGCUGAACGUGCUUACGGCAUCGCUGAUUGGCAGCGAUAUUGGGCGCCGAAUCCUAAGCGGGUACGACGGCGAUCCCAUGCUCAAGAAGAGCUCGGUAGCAAAACUGCAGCUUAAACGGAAAGACGGCUUCUGGUAUUACGGUUCCCAGUUGUACGUUCCGGAUGUGCUUGACUUGUGAAAGGACAUCAUCCACGAAAAUCACGAUGUUCCUUACGCUGGCCACCGCGGCAUUGACCGCACCAAAAAAGCGAUCGCGAAACAUUUUUGGUGGCCCGGGUUGGAUACUAACAUGAAGGCCUACGUUAGUACCUGCCCUUCUUGUCAGCGCAAUAAGGCUNNNNNNNNNNNNNNNNNNNNNNNNNNNNNNNNNNNNNNNNNNNNNNNNNNAACGAGUGAAGCUGCUGCCAAGGAAAGAGUGUACAAGAAGCAGAACUGAGCAGUAGGCGGUUUUGAAGGCGGCGACCUCGGGCUGAUGUAAUGAUGAUGACGGGGGGGCCGGGGGGAAAGGCGGGGGAAAGGUCGGGGGGGAGGGCAGGGGAGGAGGUGUUACAUCACACGACUUUUCAGGAACGUACCGAUCGGCGGUGAUGCAGAUUCCGGGUGAUAUGCCAUAUCCAUAAUGCAACAGGAGGGGGGAGGAGGAGGGGUCGGUCAAGUGACGUUGGAUGUGCGGAGGUGGAGGUGGAGGUGGUUCGGUCGGUUUAUGUGGGUGUGGGUGCGUCUGAUGGCUUGGGGUUGUUGGGUGGCUGGGGGGGAGUUUGGAGACGCUUUUGUGUGCGAUGAGUUCCGCUGGUGAGGAGCUGCUCAGGUGCGUCCCCGACGUCUCAAAAUGAAUGUAUGUAUGUAUGUGUGUGUGUGCUUUGGCGCAGAUGCUGGAUAUGGAUGAGAAGCGGCGGAUCACAGUGCCCGACAUCCGGAAGCAUGCGUGGUAUGCGAUGGAGCUACCGCCGUACUUGGACGAGGCGUUUCAGGUGGGACGACGUGGCGUGUGUGGGCGCACCCACAUACCUUUAGAUGCUUUGUGUUGUUACCGUGUUGUUGCUGUGUUGAUUACAGCCAACUUUAAAAUUUUGUUAUUUGUUGAGUUUUUAUGCCAAAAUCCUUUUCAACGGUUUUGUAACCGCUUCUCUUGUACGACAUGUCAACCGCAUGUACGAUACAGGAUUUUGAGGAGCGCCAGGGGCGAUUGGCCAGGGUGAUGGAGGCAGCGACGGAGGCGCAGGUGGGGGGGUGGCAAUGGCGGUUUCAUGCUGUGUUUUGUAUUCGAGCUUUUUGAGCUUCAUAAGUUUUUUCCCUCCUGCCAUCUUCAUACACCCAGACGGCACAUCUUAACCCCGCAUGCCGCCUUUGUCGGUGAUUACAUAUCCAGUGUAACAUAACCCCACCCCACCAAACCAUGGGUAUUUGGUGUUCUUGCACGGUGCACGAACGAAGCUGUGCUAUUUAUUUUAGAGCUUUUAAAGAUACACUGGGUCCUGCGGCGGUAGCUGUCGACUUGUCAGUUAACUAAUUGGUUCCGGAGACGACAUCAGUCUCGCCGGGACAUCGUACAACUAAACUUAUUGUUAUAUUGUUUGUUUAUUAUUAUUAUUAUUUAAAUUAUUAUUAUUAUUAUUAUUAUCAUUAUUAUUAUUAUUAUUAUUAUUGUUAUUAUUCGCCAGUGGUUCGUCUUACCCACCCACCCACCCACCCCGCGCCUUCCAUUCCAAACCCCCCGUGUUGACACCGCGGGGGGCUCACUAGAUCAAGCGCCGUGACAAGGCCGUACACGAUUUAAUUGUGCUGGCCGGCCAGCCGUACAAUACCGAGCCGGUCAGCAAGCGCGCCGUAUCCGGCCCCAUCUCCGCCAUCUUCGAGGUGCCCUCCAUCAAGGAGUGUGAGACCGCAUCGGCUACCUCAGCAGGCGGCAACAAUCACUCGGCCGCACUCAGUCCCGCGACUUCCCCUGCCCGCAACGGCGGCUGCGACGGCGGCGGCGGUGGUACGGCAGUAGCAACAUUACAACACGGGCAUCAGGGUGAGAAGCAAAAAGGGCAGGUGCCGCCGCCGCCGCCGCAGCAGCAGCAGCAGCAGCAGCAGCCUACGGAUGGAGGAGAUGGGUUUAUGGCGGCGGUGAAUCCGCCGCCGCCGCUGUCGCCGCCGCCGCCACUCCCUUCGACACCUCUCCAGCAGGCUCUGAGCUCCUGUCUUAUUGACGGCGGCGGCAAGGUUCUCACCGCGGAGUGCACUCAGAGCGAGCCCGAGGUUAUCAUGAUUGAGCUGGCGGCCGUAGCGAAGAGGACCAAGGCAAGUGGUAGCUUGGUCGGGUAGCUUUCAUGCGGGGCCUCCUCCGUUAUUACACUGUCAUAUGACUGAUAUAAAAAAAGACCUGCAAAGUGCGGAAAGAUAGGCAAAGGAAGGAAAGGGUAGGGCUCGGUGCGGGGGGGGGGGGCUAUACCUACACUAUACCCCGAAGCAGCAAACCAAGGCCACUUACUUUGACACAAACCAACCUGUACUACGCUUCAGGACGACAGUACCUACAUCAGUACCAACGAACCGCUUCUUGUCAGGCUGCAGUACCCCUUAAUACCCAGUACCUACAGCUCUACAAACAUGUACCCGGAAAAAAUUUUAGUUGACCAGCAUCGUCGCGGGACACACAGCGACACAUCCCGGAGGCACACCAUCAUGCCGUACAAUUUCCACCGUGCCGAAUUUACAGAAAGCCUUGGUUUCCUAACGUUCCACUCCGCUAGAACUAGUACCAGUGUGAUUAUAGACGUUGCUAUGAGCGUUUUUAGAACACCAGCAACACCAGCAGCAGCACCAGCAGCAGACGAAAAGUAACCCUGAGGAAGGCGCCAAGUAAGGGGAUCGGAUCCCUUCAAACACUUUUCUUGCCGUAUCGCCGUACAAGAAUGGCUUAUGUGUGGUGGUUGUCUUUGCGCAGAGUGACGGCCUUGUCCUCAUGGCAGCCUUCGAGCCCGAGACGCUCGCGGGAGCCGGCAGCGGCGGUGGCGGUGGCGGGGCCUGCGGCAACUGCCGCUGCGACAGUGAGUCGUCCACGGAAAAUGCCGUGGAAAGCAGCAGCGCCGGCAGCGGCGGCGGCAGCGAUGCCGCUGCUGGGGAGAAGGUUCGGGCUGCUACUGCCGUUGUGGCAGCAGCAGCAGCGGCGGCGGCGGCGGCGGCGGCAGUGACCGCGGCUGCUGUUACGUCCGGUGGGGAACCUGUCCUUGCGCCGUCAGCGGCGGCGGCAGCGGCGGCGGCGGCGGCGGCUUCCAGCACUCUUUCGGGGGGAAAGGAGGAGGUUGAGGCGGCAGCCGUCGCUGCUGCUGAUGUGGAUGGCAGCGCUGGCGAUGGAUCCGUAAAUGCGGAGCAGGUAAGAGUUCGCGCAGCGCCGUAACACGUCGUACUGCCGUCGUACAUUGCCGCGUACAUGCCGGAGAGCACAUGCCGGAAUGGGUAACGCGUUGCGCGGGAAGGGGGGAGGACACGAGGGGAGAACACGAGAGCCCCGGGGCGGGAAGAAGAAGCCCAUGGGGGAAAAGGUAAUUUCCGUCCCAAAGGACGGGUUGGCGGGAAGAGGGCCAUCCUAUCUAUUUACCAUUCGUGUGCGUGUCAUGCGUCUUGCUUGUCGUCGUGUGCUGUGUACGGACGUGCCUUGCUAAAAAGGGUGUAGGGAUUUCUCACGUUGUUCUUCUGUUUUAUCUAUCUAACAACAAAGUACUGAAAGUACUGGAAGUGUGACAACCCUAAGCCUGCCUGCUUUGACGGCGGACUGGAAGACCGCCCUGUUUUGCGUUGCGUCAUGCAUUUGUGCCCCAUGGUGAAGGUGACGUUGGAAACGGAUGAACCGGCAAACUCCAGAGUCACCGAACCGGCGGCAGCGGCAGCAGCGGCGGCGACGGCGGCGGCGGCGCUGGCGGCACCGCUAGCAUCAGCUCCCCCGGCGUCGCCAGAGCCCAUGACGACGGCGACGACGAUGACGAAUUUGGAGGCGGGAGAGGUGGGAACGAGGGAAAGGGCGGAAGCGGAGACGUGACCGUUAAUGGCGUUGUUAGUUGAAAGGUGGUUGGACGCCCCUGGUCAGGCCCACGGCUGACUGAGGCGACGAAGUCGAAGUUUAAAGGUACGAAAUAAACCGCAGGCGCGAGCGCCUUGAGCGCCGGAAAAGGGUCCGCCGCCGCUGCCGCCGUAGCAGACGCAGAGGCAGAAGCAGCAAUAAUAGUCGCAAUAAUAGUCGCAGUAAUAGUACCCGUAGCAACAACAGCAGCAGCAGCAGCAGCUACAGCAGGAGCAGCAAUUGCCGGUGCUGCUGACACAUCGUUUUGGGGGGGGGGGCUUUGUGUACGACAUAAUUGGGCGCCACACGGUGAGCAGAAUGCCAUAAGCCCCAUGUUGGGCAUGUAUGCGCCGCUGGGCACAGGGGUGAGUGAGGCAAACAUGAUGAACUGCUGCUGUGAUAAAUGUUUGUGACCUAUAAAUAAUAUAUUACCGUUUGGUGCCGUUGGAUGAUGGUGGAUUUUGUAGUUGUAUUAAGAGGAUAGGGUAACUGCCAACGUCCAACAGAACGCCGAGGCGCAGCCACUCACCUGCCGUACAGUGCUCCAUGCAUGAUGUGGCGUACGGCGGUGAAGACGCGGAUUAUUAUCGAGGUCGGUACUGAGGUUUCUUUUACUACAGGUUGACGUUUUUUGAAUUAGGGAGGUUGGGAUUUUGGGAGAAGGGCCUGAUGAAGCACCUGAGAAACCUCGCAGUAUUCUUUUGGGCGUGUGAUUUAGGGGGAGAAGGGGGCAAAGAAGGGGGGUCGGCAGGACAGACUCCUCCUUUGCUCUUCAUUGUUUGUUAUACCACCGUGUUGGAAAAGAAAGUCCGUUUGGUGAGUUUGUUGAUUUGUUUUUGCUUGCUAAUGGGCUGGUGCUUUUUGACUUUGUGCGUGUUGAAGUUUUUGCUGUGCAAGGGUGCUCUCCGCCUUUUUGCUGUGGUUUUCUACAGCCGUGGUUGCGGCUCGAGAGUUUUACGAGCCUUUCCGGGUGCACCACCACCGGGCUGAUGAACGUCUAGGACUGGUGACUACGAGCCCAACCCUUACCGGCAAAAACCCUUUCCGACGUGUUGGUAUGUAGUAGCAUUAUUCACGCGCAUUCACACACGCACAAACGGUCUCUCUAGCGAGCGCGCACGCAUGCAUUCAUGCAUGCAUGCACCCGCAUUCGCGUUUAGGCCAGGAGGUACCCGCACAGCGACUACUGCGACGCGAUUUCGGUUGCACGUGACUCUUGUGUGUGUGCCUGUGUGUGUGUGUGCCUGUGUGUUUGUGUUUGUGUGUGCGUGUGUGUGUGUGCCUGUGUGUUUGUGUGUGUGUGUGUGCCGUCUUCCUGAACCGAAUGGACCGACACGUGUAUCUCGUGUCUUAUUGUGUUCACGUGCACUACACCACAUUACUACACAAGGUUGUUACGUCGCACGCCAGGACGUGCAGUAGCAGCAGUAGUCCGCCGCGCAUGCACUCGUACACGUGCGUGCAUGUGCUCACACGAACUUGUAUAAACACGGGGCAAACACACGCCCACGCCCACACACACGCACACGCAAUCACACACACACACGCCCACGCCCACACACACGCACACACACACACUCUCAAAAGACAUACAUACAUACAUACAUACACAUGGCGGAGAGGGAGAGGGCUGAGACUCUUUAACUUGAGGCUUCAGGGAGCCCUGCGGCUUCUUAAAUUCCGGAAUGGCAUUUCCUUGGAGAGAUCAAACAGAUCGAUCACACAUGCGCAUUCUCCUGGUUCCGUACACGUUCCGUACACGUGGCGGCUGUUGUACAUGUACAACACUGUCUACGUGGACACCCUCCCGUAUCCGCACCAGCCGCCGGCGGUGGCCCCAAGGCUCCGAGACAUAUGUAUGAGUUUUGGAGAAACGACCAAAUUCUUCUUGGAGAAUUAAUAUAUUUAGGUGUGCACCCUUUCAUAAAUGGAUGGUGCCGUAUGUACGACAUGAUGUUCACGACAGUUAUAUUUCGUGCGGUACUUGCCAUAGUGGUAGUUGCGCGGCUUUUGCCUUCACUUCCACCGGUUGCAUGGGUGCUGUGGAUGGCGGGCGGUGCGGAGUUCCCCCUAACGGGCCCCGGGUCCGCACCGCUUCAGCCAGAUGCGCCACUCGUACGCCGUACGUGCGUGUUGAUGAAGGGGAUAAGAUGCGAGGUGGAUGUACACGGCUCGGCAUUGGAUGCGAAAUAGGGCUUGCGAGUAUGUGUAUGUAUGUAUGCAUGCAUGUAUGUGUUACGUAUCGAUCCGGGCCUGACACUGGCCAGGGGCACCUAACCGUACCGUAUGCCCCAACGGGAACGACCGCUCCGAAGCGCGCUCCUCUAUGUGGGGGGAGAGGGGCGUGUGGGGCCGCUAGCACCUCCUGCUCGACCGAGGGCGUGAACCCCCCCCCCGCGUUUCCCCCUUUGGUCAAAAGAGGAAAGAGAGCGCGAUGGCGACCAAGGCCCUCAAACAAACAACCUCAGCACGCGCUGCAGCACAGAUCCGUCCAUAUAUAUGUAUGUAUGUAUGUAUGUAUGUGCAUCUUUGCGUGUAUGGACAUAUGUAUGUGCGUGCGUCUGCUUGUGUUUUUUUGGUCGUGCUGAAGCCCUGGAAAAGAUCAGGAUGACGAGCGGGGGUCGUGAAAAGAAAUAUGAGGUGAACCAGUAAUCCCGGAAGGAGGUGAUGUUGGCCUCCGCGUGCUCCGUUCCUCGUGUAUCGUUUCUUUGCAGAGUCGGAAGUGGCCGUGCCCCGGGACUCGGAGGCCCGCUCCACCCACACCUUGACACACUGUCGGGUGUAACCAUGACGGCUCCCUAGUGUUGAUGUUGGAACGUGACCCCUAGUGUUGAUGUUGCGUGACGACUUGCGUGACGGCUUUUCUGUUGAUAUGUCUGUCGACGUGUCGUAGAGGGAACCGCCGUCCUUUACAUAUGCUCUCUGCGGUUUUCACCUUGGGGGCAAAGGGGGGACGGGAGGCAGCGGAUGAGGAGGGGAGGGGAGGAGGACGGAGGAGGAGAAGCGCGCUACGGUGGAAGAUUGGAGUGUCGUACAUGAAAUGAAAGGCCGUGCAGGGGGCACACCGUUCGUCGGCGGAACACUGUAAGGAGUCCACGGGGGUUGGUUUAGGGGUUUUUGGUUUAGGGAAGUUUUGGGGGAGAGUUUAUAGAUGCGAUGAGGACGUUGGAGGUAGGGGGGAGGAGGAAGAGGAGGGUGAAGAGAAGCGGGGGAGGCCUGUACUGUGCACAGAGGCGACUCGGCCUCUUUCGAACCACUAGGCGCGACCCCCGCUAGGCUGUGAUGUAUCACACGCUUAUAUUGAAUUGGCGCGCGACAAUCGUUGCGAUUGUGACCGCGUUCUUAAACUUUGCGUGGGGCUAAGAUAUCUAAACUACUAUCUUGGGGUGUGACUACUGGGAAACGGAAGGUUUACUAUUUUGCAUAAACGAGGUGUGGCGUUGGGGAGGAUUUGGGAAGUGGAGUUGGCUCAAGAAAAAAGGGGUGGGGGUGGGGGUGGGCGGGAUUGCGACCGGCGGCCCUGCUCAUGUAAAGGUGCCAUUAAUCUCCAGCAUCUGCUUGGCUGCCCUUUGACUGAAUUGUUGAUGUGGAAGGCGUUCGCCAGCUUACCGUAAAUUGACAAAGAAAUUGUGCGUUUUGCUGACUUGUCCUCUCGGGCGACGCGUCCCGAUUCUCACAGGGCAACGUUUAUCCUAAUUUCCGUGUGCGUCUAUGUGUCCGUGUGUGUGAGGGAGAGAGAGAGAAAUAGAGAGAAUGUAUUUUGUGUAUGAGAGAGUGAAAGCAUCGGCGGUGUUGGGCGCGUGCCUCUCAUCAUUUGGAAGACGCAGCUCCAAGCCGACGGCGGGCGGUGUACCCAGUACGGCCCCCUUCCUUUUCAGACGUCUGUACGCCGCUGCUGAAGCGGCUUUUCAGUCUGGGUAGCGAGGAGGUGGCUGGGAUGCUGAAAGAGGGGGAUGGGGGUCAUCAAGUCCAGACCGGCUCUUUGACGAAAAAAAACAUCGAAUGGUGAAGGAUAAGGCCCGGCGGUGGCAGCAUUCCAGCGCGGCCGUCUAGGCCUCCUCAGCGGCAACGUUUUUUGAAAUUCUAUAUUAGCAUGGUUUUUGUAAGGAUUAUACUUCUAAUUAUAAUAUGGCUUCGGUCAUUUAUUGACACACAAUCCUCCCUCCCUUACUCGCUUGCAAAAGAUUAAAAAGCUGUCGCGCAGACUGGGCCGCCCUUAAGGCCUGGCGGGCGCUCCUGCACAGUCACGAUUACCGUCCAGUCCUUAAGCGAAGUCCUCGAGCACCUCGAGCACCAAAGCCAGGCGACCUGCACUCCAAACGGGCUUUUGUACGAGCUUUUAUGAUGACGUGUUACAAACGCAUUCAUCUACGGCGACUACAAUAUCGUAGUACAGCGCCGUAGAGAGAUGUGAAGCAAGGUAUCCUCCUAACCAUGCUGGUCACAUUGGUGAAGCUAAAAGGUUCUUUUAACUGCCGUACUGAGCCUAUGUUCGUCAGCAAGUUAGGCGCGGCGCGGUUCGUAUCGACUGGCAGCGUUACGAAGGUAUUUACACGUAAUAUAUUUUGUAUGCAUUCGUGCCUGUACAUGUACAUGGAUAUAUGCACGCGUACGGCAUCGUACACCUCUUCGGAAAGAGUUUUGUGCGUAACAUGUAUGAAUUGUGACGGACACAGUCAAAAAGCGGUUUGGUAAUAUAUUACUAUGUGACUGUACUACAUAUAUAAUAUAUACCAUAUGCUGGUUGGAAAGCUCCUGGAGGCAACGCCUCAUCCCAAGAGCACCGUUAAGAGGUGGUGUUGUACAGCCGUACUGCGUUUUCCACAGAAAAUCAGGCUCCGAAAGAACCUCCACACACACACGCACACACGCGCGCGCACUGCGUUACUAUUCACGUGCACAUACAUACAUACAUGUACGUAUAUAUACACAGGAGAUUCCACUGACGCGGCGCGCCUCCUGCCAUAUUCCUAGCGAGACUCCCCUACCUCAUCCCCCCCGGGUAAACCGUGCGGGGAGGGGAGAGCCGUGUGGAGGUCCUUUCACACGGCUCCGAAACGCCUUACAACUGCCCGGCAACCUCGCCCCCUUACCCCUCCCAGCAGUACGACAACCCAACUGAAUAAAAUACACAACCUCCCGGGGGCGGGCCCACUUCCCCCCUUCCUGCAACCCUCCUCUUUUGUCCUUUCCCGCCUCCUGUCAUAGCCUGCUCGUAAAUACUGCUACUGCUGCAGAGCGUAUAUUAAGGCAGUUUGUUUGUAUGUGUGUGUGUAUGUGUGUGUGUGUGCGUGUGUGUACACAGGCGUUUACGACGAGACAAAAUGUCUCAGGCACGGUCGGCAGUUCCGCUUGCACUUCAGGGACAGCUGGGGGAGGCGGAAAGAAGUCCGAAAGAGGUAUCAAAGUACCAAAGUAAAACCCCAAGUCACGAACCCAGGGGGAGAGCCAGCUCCCCCCCCCCCCCGCCCCCUCCUGCGGCCCUGGGAAGUGAAAGAUGGUCGCUUUCCAGCUGGAAGGAAGGAAGCCUCAAAAUUCCCAAAUCAAAAAUUCCGUGUAUGAGUGUAUUUGUAUGUUUAUAUAUAUGUGUGUGUGUGUAUGUACCAUUAAAUAAAUUAAUAAUAUAAAAAUAAUUCAACUGUGCAGUCUCGCUGCCGUCUCUCUGUCACAAAGCAUAGCAAUGCUGGCGCUGCCGCCUUAGCGGUGGCGGCGACGGAUCUGUGCUUCAGUCGCCAACGCCUGACCGUCGGGGGACGGAAGAGCCUCAACAGAUUUUGAGGAGUUAAAACAUAUAAUGCCGUUAAUAGUAAUAUAAGCCUUGGUCUUGGUCGUACUCGUCGUACUCGCUGUCGUGCACGUCUAUCACGUCAUCCUCUCCGGAUGACGUGUCGUCACGGCCGCCGCCACCGCCGCCGCCGCCGCCACCCUGAUGCCCUCGAACACCGUCUGCACCGCCGACGGCAACACCCCCAACAUCGUCGCCGCCGCCGCCGCUGUAGCCUCCUUCCGUACUCCGUUCCUCAGGCAGCAGCAUGUCAUUCACCUUCCGCCGAACAGUCUGUUAUUUGGGGCGCCAAUUUGGAUGUCAAAAUAUAAAUAUUUGUUUCCAAAUUUGGCGCCAAUUUGGAGACAGACAGACGAACAGGCCCAGAAAGGCCCAGAGCACCAGGGGCUGCACACUCGCACUCGAGCAGUAAAUUGCGAACCAGCUAUACAUCCGAAACCACUCCGAAUACGAACUGCCGGGCAGCUGCCCGCCCUGAAACCACUCGCCUAACCAACAGCACCCACCUUCUGUAGCUGCACCUUCAUCCACUCCUGUGCCACGUGCCGUACAGGUGCGAGGUGCCGUACGGUACGAAGACACGGCGACGACGGAGGAGGAAAGCCACCGUCGGGGGGUGUCCGGAGACAGUAACAAACCGAGAGGAGAGGAGACGAGGGGGUUCGGGAGGGUGUCCGGGAAAUAUGUUGGAUUACACCCCCGGGAGGGGGGGGGGAAAAGGGGCUGGGCGGCUGAGGCGGCGGGGGGGAGGGGGAAGAGCCCUGAGCAACUCUCCCUCUUUAUGUGUGGACUAAUUCAACCCGUUCCUUCCUCAGCCUCUCCCAACCCAGCUCAACUUCCGAAAACACAUUCAAAGACCGCAACUGAUGCGGCACUUAUGGGUCACCAUGCGAUGCUAUGGAAAUUGCCUCCCAGGAGAGGGUUUGUACGGCUGUACGGCGGGUUCAUCCUGGGGGGUUGGGGGGGUUAAGACGAAUCACUACUGGCAAAUGAAGCAGACACCGGGGGGGGUGUUUGGGGCGAUACACACACAUACACACACAUAUACACACACAUACACACACACAUACACGCACCUGCAGAUGGAGCGCAUACACGUGCGAUACGUAGUGAAUGAACGUCCAGGCGUCGGGCUGCGGGUCCUCCAGCUCCGCCGCCGUCGUGGCGCCGCCACCGUUGCCGUACAUCAACGAUAGACGACCAGCACGACUUCGCUCCAACGCCGCCCAGAGAGCCUGCUGAGGUAAUCCCCAGAGGUCAGCUGCGUUGCCCCUGCCGUACACGGGGCCCGCCGCGUUACGGGUUGCGUGUCCGCCACCGGCGUCACUGCCACUCCGGGGGCGGCGGCGGGAUGGCUUGCCGUGGUUUCUGCUGCUGCUGCUGCUACUGGCGCCGCCGCCGUUGCCGCCGGCGUCUGUACGAGCUUGGUCCUCCGGCGUCCCGCUCCGUUUGCUGUCCUUGGCGUUGCCGCUGCUCCGACCUUUACUGCUACUGCUGCUGCUACUGCUACUGCUACUGGUACUGCUGCUGCUACUGCUAGUGCCGCCACGUCCGCUUUGGCUGGAGGCGGCUGCCGACUUGCCGGGCACCCCCUUGCCCUCUCUGAAUUGCGCCUUGCUACUGCCGCCGCUGCCGCCGCCUUUAGGAGCUUCCGCCGGGGGUGCCGUACCCUGUAUGUUGUCCGCUUUCCUUUUCCCUUUGCCGUUGCUACUACUGCCACUUUUCCGGGGCCUCAAUGCCGACGAUGCCGACGACGAUGGCGACGACGGCGUUGAUGAUGACGAUGACGAUGACGCUUUCCUAUCCCCGGCAGUGGCGCCGUCAGCUGCAAGAAGGGUGCCGUUGUGAAAUGCCGUCGCCGCAAUGUACGCAUCCAGCAGGCUGCCGCCGAAGCCGCCGCCGCCAGCGGCGUUAGUAGUGUUGUUGCCGGCGCCGUGGAGAUAGGUGUCGCUUGAAUUCGCCCGUUGAUCUCCAGUUCCAAAUUUGGAUCCAUGGCCGCCGCUGCUGCCGGAUCUAGAUUCCGAAAGCGCCAACCGUCGCUCCACAUCGAGCUCCAAGGAGACCCGGUAGAGGUGCAAGAUCUGAAGCUCGGCCUGUACGGCAAUGGAUCACGCAGGACACCAUGUGCGGAAUUCCAGCAGGCGGCGGCGGCGGAGGAGAUCAAUGUUUUUCCUUUAUUUGUGGGUUUGAGGGUUUUAAUUUUUUUUAAAAUACCCAUUUUAUUUUUGUUUCUGAUUUUCAAGUAACCCAAACGGGGACGAGGAAUUGAAGGACAUAGUCCUUCUGCAUAAUGCAAACAAACAGUUAUUACUAUUGUUAUUGUUAUUAUUAUCAUUAUUAUUAUUAGAUUUUUCCAUUAUUAUUAUUAUUAUUACUGUGUAUUAUGUGCAUACACAGUAUGUAUACACAUACAUGUGUAUAUGUAUAUGUAAUCUAAUUAAUAUAAUUAUAUUACAAGCAGCAAUUAUUAUUACUCCUAUUUUUGAGAGCACCAAGUGGAUCCGGAUGCCGUACCUCAAGCUCGGCUUGCCGUACGCCGCCAGCCGCCAGACGCGCCUCCAGGUCCUGUUCGCGUUGCCCCGCCGCCCCAAGCAUAAGGCCCAUACCCGCCACGGCCGCCACUAUCACCAGUGCCUGCCGUUAGCGUCGUCAAUGUGGUCGUUAGUGCCGUUAUCACGAUUGCCGUUUUUAUCGGUAUUUGUCCUUCCGUAUCAACGGAACGAGAGGACGACGGACGAAGGAAGACGUCGUACGCGAUGUACGGCUGUGGAUUUAAAGCGGCCUCUUCAAAUGCGUCGCGAAGCGAAAUAUAAUGUGUUUGCAUAAUUUAUAAUCUAAAGGUGGUGUCCACGAUAAUCCCCUUCGGGAAAUUCAGUCCAGUCAGAAAUUACAAAACAACACUGUUAUAUGUUAUGUAAUAGAGUAGCAGCACAUUAACAUCAUAGACCACAGAGCAACAUUAGCAGCACCUCUACCGUAACCGCAGCAACAGCAACAGCGACAGCAACAGCGACAAUCGCAAUCGCAACGCAUCAUCAUCAUCAGGCCCUUGAGACGUCGUACCAGCAGCGCCAAUGACGUCAGCGAUUUCGUCCUCAGGCUCCGAAACCGGUGUGACCACUCCACCUCCAAAGACAUCGUCACUCGCUCAACCUAGGUGAGGUGAGGGCGGGAGGAGGGGGGAGGAAGGGGAAAAAGGGGAGUGCGGCCGGGGAGAUGGGGCUUCACACGGGUUUGGGUUCCAUGCAGGCACGCAGGCAUGCAGGCAGGCAGGGAAGGGGAAAGAGAUUCCGGAGAACAUAUCUCUUGUCGUACUUUAUCGCAAGUACAGAAGUAUCCCCCUUAGGGACUUUAACAAACUCCCUAAAUAAAAAGCAUAAAAACGUCAAUCACGGGCGCAUAUCGAAACCCCCCAACAGCAGCUCCAGAAACCUUACAUACAUACAUAUAACGGACACGACGAAGGCCCCACAACCCACAACAACCUGCGCUUGCAGCAUACGCUGCCGGGCCUCGUACGCCGCCGCAGCGUCGCUCUUGUCUCCCAGUUGCACUGCCCGCGCCACCAGCCACUUGAGCUCGCCCUCGUUCACCACCUUGCUGCCCGUGAUGGCGCCGCCCCACCGCCCGAACCGAACCUUGACAGGACAGCAGCCCGCAGAUGUAUGUAUGUAUGUAUGUAUGUAUGUAGUAUGUAGUAUGUAGUAUGUAGUAUGUAGUAUGUAGUAUGUAGUAUGUAGUAUGUAGUAUGUAUGUAUGUAUGUAUGUAUGUAUGUGCGUGUGGGAUUCUAAUCAACACGUGUGAUUAUCAUCAACUUGAACAAAACAAAAUUUAGUAAACUCUAAAAAAAACUCAAUCAGCCACGUCUACAAUUCCAUUGGAGGAUCCUAACACACGUCGCUGGUGGCUACAGAGCUGGCGCGCUUUGGUAUGAAACUAUCUGUGUUCGUGUACCACUGUGUAUUCCACAUUGGAGCCCCCCCCCAUCGCGGGGCUCCGAAGAUCAUUUUAAAGCGCACACAGGUACACGCACAGAGACAGACGCACAUACAGACACACACACACACACAACGACAGGCGUCCACGUCGUCUGGCCUCCAUCUCCUUUUUUGUCGUACCUGACUAAGAGUGUACGCCUGUACGGGUACUCCGCUAUCCGUAUAAUCCGACGUGAGCCGAGCCAGCUGCAGGGAACUGGCCACGUCAUCAAUUUGGAGAAUCCGGAUCCCGAAAAUUCCGGAUCCAGACGCGUACGACACCACCACGCCGUCGUAGUCGCCCAGCUUGACUAGCGCACCUGGUUUGUAUACGCAUAUGAGAAAUGGGAAAUUGGGAAUGGUGUUAUUAUUCCUGAUCUAUUGUUUUAAGUGAGCUGCGGGAUGGAAAAGGGCACCGCGGGGAUUACACAGGAGCAAUGUGCUUACUCUCCAUUCACUCACUCACUCCAUUCACUCCUUCAUUCACUCACCUACGAAAUUGGCCAUAUCGUUGUCCCGCGUGCGCUCCUCCUCGCGACUGAUCGUAACCAUCUUAUCGGAUCGUACUUCACAUGAGUCAUCGUUGGUCUUGAUCUUUACGACGUACUGCGUGCUGGGUUUCAAUUUCUUGAUCUCGUACUGCAAAACCCGCCGUGCAUGCCGUACGUGUUACACGGAGGACAGAAAGGGGGAGGGUGCAUGAAUAAAAAUAUUAUAUAAUAUAAUCUAACAUAACAUAAUGUGAUAUAACAUAGUAUAGUGUAAUACAAUUAUUAUAUAAUAUUAUAUUAUAUUAAACUAUAUUAUAUUAUACUAUAUACUAUAUUAUACUAUAUUACAUCAUAUCACAUCAUAUCAUAUCAUAUCAUAUUAUAUUAUAUUAUAUUAUAUUAUAUGAUAUGAUAUGAUAUUAUACAUUUUAUUAAACCUGCUUCAGAAAGCUAUACAGAAUUGCUGCCUCCACAAAAACCUCCAGGAGUGUGUGUCUCGAUGUUUUUUACUUCAGACCCACCCCCCACCCCCCAACUGCCUCCCCAUUCACGUUCGUUACCCCCCUCCCCUUCCGCCCUCUAAAAACAACAGAACCCCCAAAAUACAAACAAGCAAACCCAACAGCAGGCUCAGCCCAAAACACAGCUUACCUCAAAGUACUGAGCCUCACCCAGCAUGGGUUGCCGUACAGCUAGCUCCGGCCCCAAUAUGGACACGGGCGUCAACGUCACCUGAGUUCCAAACACCGCCCCAACUUUCUGCAGUACGGCAGGCGAAAAGUGCGGGAAGAGUCGACAGCCAUGACGUCAGCAACAGCAGCACCGCAACUUUGACUCCAAGGAUGCCCAGCGCCUUUCCCCAACAAAAAGAGAGGGGGAAUGAGAUCUCACAUUCCCGGAUGCCGUACGUGGAGAACAAGGCAUAUGUGUGUGUGUGUGUUUAGCAACCCGACCACACCUUAAAUCAGAAGCUUCGGGAAGUUCGCGGGAAGCAUUUAUCCCCUCAUCGACUGACGGCUAUGGCAUCCCUACCCUAAGGCACUGUCAUAAACUGGUGUGUACAUCAUCAGAGGUAUUGUGUACGACACGGAGAACUGAAGCGAUCUCUGGUACGGCGUCCCACAGAUCUGGAUCUGGAUCUUUAGCACACCAACCUUGUAAAAGAUUUUGAAGGUCUCACUGUACGGCGCGGCUUGGUAGAACCCGAUGACGAGCGCCGAGGAAGAGGACCAGACCUGCUCGUGUGCGGGGGUGUCAUUUCCAUUUUCUAUAUCAAAAAACCUGAAAUCCGGGUACAAGAAUUCAAAGAAUUCCAGAUCCAGAUCCUAAAAAUGUCCUCUCGAUGUUUAAUUUGGCAGACGUUUGAUAUACGGAUGUAUAGGUGUACGGCAGCAUUGGAAGUCCUUUAGGAUUCCUUAAACCGGAAUUCAUCCGUACCAUUACAGAUACUUGAUACAUUAAGAAAUGAACAGCAGGUGUUAAAAAUGCGAACAGACCGGAAUUUCAGCCCUCUUUCUAAGUCUUAUCGGAAGCCAUAUAAAGAUCUGAAUCUGUUUCGCUUCAUUGGGGAUCCAUCCGAUCAUCACUGAAAGGACACCGCGUCUAGAUUUGGACCGGCAUAAUCCCAAAUUCUGCCAAAAACAAGAAAAACAUUACAACCAUAAAAAAUAGCCAUAAAAAAUAAUGGAUGAGUGGAAAUGACUGCCUGUGUGCUUUAAAAAGGAUCUACGGCAGCCGUACAGCACGUGACAAAAUCUGAGGUGGCAUGGUCCCUGUUGGCAAUGGGGGAGGCGGAGGAUAUGGCGGUGGUAGACGGUUGCAGACCAUUUGUAACCCCCUGAGCCGCCACCGCGGCUGCAGCUACCGCCGAUGCCGGGGGACAGGGCUAAGCUUUUCCAUGUGCCAUUCGUUCCUUCCCCGUGCGUUCUUGCGUUUGCGGAACCCAAUUCCGCGGUGUGUCCCUCUUCAACUCCCGACAUUACCUUUACGGGCUUUGACAGCUGUCCGGGCUGAAGCACCAGGCGGCCUUGAGGAGGCGGCGAUGGCGUGCUGAGCAGAGCAUCGCCAACCUCCGGCUGCUGAAACGCCAUCUGCCUAGCGAGGUGGAUGAGGGCAAGCCUUGCCCGUCCUGUACUGUUCGGUCAAGCUCUGCACCGCGCUGGCAACCGUAACAUGCUCUGUUCUUGUGGCGUUCGAGAUGACAGGGUGUAUUCGAAAGUAACUACUGAUAAGCAAAGUGUUGUUGGGACUGAAGGGAUCUUUUAUUAUUGUCGAGAAGUGUCUACUCGCCCCCUUGAUGAUAUCCGGAGUUACCUUUGUUAGGAGAUAGUUGACGAUGUGCCUUGGGUCAGGCGCACCAGUGAUAACUUCAGAUCAAACUGCAUAUAUUGGAGUACAAUAUGAUAAAAGAAGUGGCCAAACAUGCGGACCUUAGCUUAAGUCGGCCGGUGCAAAAGGUAUCGGCGUAAACUGCCGUAACGAAAGCAGUACCGGCACAAAAAGACGAAGUGAAGAUUUUGCCCAUGGCCAUCAUCCUGCAGCAAAUACAAUUACAAACACAUCCUUAAGCGGUGCUAUCAGAGUACAAGAAUGGCUUUGGUAAGCAAAUAAUCUCAGAGUCGAGCUAUCGGCAGAGAUGCAUUCUGCCCUUCCCUUGCAACGCAGCAGCAUGAAACUAAUCCAAUACUCUUUAUGUUUUCAGGCAUCAAUUUCCCGCGUCAAUGGCCGAGUCGGCACCCGCGUCGCUGCCGCCGCUCGCCGUGUGGUAGGCACUUCGGGUAUCAUUGCGCCGCAUUCCUUAACGCCUAUCCUACUCUCCAUGUUCAUCGUAUUUCCAUGUUUUGACCACAUAGCUUAUAGCUCAACAGUCUUCGAAGCCCUCCUUGUGUGGGCUGUGAUGAUCUGAAUUGCAUAUCGCCGCGCGUUACUUCUUGCUAAUGGAUGUCGACACAGGAUACGUCAGCCCGUGUCUUUCUGUUAUCAAGCCGUUCGUAGUUUGCCUCGGGAUGUGCUGCCGAAAGCGUCGUGACAUCUAUAUACUUCGUGCUGCGGGUCUCGCACCCAGCCGCAAGACAGGUGCCUCUGUCUAUUGAACGCAUCGCUGUGACGUCUGCGGGCGUCUGGAAGGGGCAUGGAACAGGCGGCAAGCAAACAGCCCCCCAAAAGCAAAACCGAAAAUAAGAAAAGGAAAAAAAGGGGAACGAAAACCGAGGUGAUACCCUGUAGGGGACACCAUGUCGUUUAUUCCCCCUUUGGCUUUCCAAAGAGGAUCCCCCUCAAUGGGAAAAUGACACCUAGGGGAAUCACUUCCGUUUUGUUCUUUUCACAAAAAGGAUAUUUUGCCAGAAGAUUAUCCGAAAGGGGACAUUCAGAAGUGGGGAAAGGAAGGAGCCCUUACCCUUCGGUCAGUCUUAAUGAGGAAUCCUCCGAAUCCGAAGGGAUGCGCAAAACGCGUUCAGGCAGGUGGGCGUUACGAAAUCUCUGUAGCACUUACGAAAUCCUAUUCCCCUGCCCCCAGCCCCCAACCCAUCACCUGUUUGAGUCCUCUUUUUUGCUUUUUGCUUUUUUUAGAUUGAAUACCGAAAACGAAAACAAAUGAUUGAAGCAAACCUGGUGCGCACCUUCCUUCUUCAUCCCAACCUGACCAUCUCUCCCUCCCUCCCUCCCUCCCCCUCCGCGCGCGGCGCCCUCAAGACUGUGGCGGUUCGUGCCGCCCAUAACCCCGCCGCCAUCACUAAGAAGGUAAGAGGCAGCCUGCAACGGCAGCCUCUCUGCUCCUAAUUUGAGCUUCCUGUCGUGUACGACAGUGUGCAGCAGUCGUACAAAGUUCCUCGUAACGUGCAGAGCGGCAUUUCACUACGGUUUUAUUGUGUGUGGGGGUCCGUUUUGGGAGCAUUGGCACAUACAUACAUACAUACAUACAUACAAACACACACGCGUGUAUAUGUCGUAUAAGAAGUGGAUCAAGGGCAGCAUUGUACGGCACGAACGAUGGGUGUACGGCAGCAAUGAGGUCCCGAUGGAAGGCCGGCAGUGCCGUACAAAGCGAUGUCAUGCCAUCUUCUUGUUUUUCAACAACGAAUUGUACACGUGGCAAAGAAAGAUCCGCUGCGGCAGUGCCAGGGAGUAAGGGAAGCGAGUCGCAAACCUGAAACUCUUUCGAAAUUGAGGAGUUUCAGGACAGAAGCUGAGAUAAUUGCUUAUUGGUUUUCCUUAUUGGCUUGCUUCAGUGGAUCCUCAGCCAUUGUCGACUUUUCUUCAUCUCGCUAACUCUUCUUUCCGCGCCUGGUUUUAAAGAAACGUUCCGUAUAUAUUCGUAUUUCGGCAGGUUUAUUUCGAUGUCGACAUUGGCGGUAACAAGGCGGGCCGGAUUGUGAUCGGCCUGUACGGCAAUGACGUACCGAAGACCGUUGAGAACUUCCGGGCGUUGUGCACUGGCGAGAAGGGCUUCGGCUACAAGGGUUCACCUUUCCACCGCGUUAUCAAGUAAGCUAGGACUCAUGAGAAUUAUGAGAGCCUUGUUGCUACCGUGUCACGAUACGAAAUAUAAUAUUAAAUACAGACAGAUUUUGCGGACAGAGUUUAAGACGGGCAGGUCGUAUAUGUUAUGUCAUGUAAUGCGCACUCUAAACAUUUGCCUUCAAACAUUUCCCGGAUCCCCAGACUGACAGCAGAUUCAUUUAUUGGCCACUCUCCCAUAACAUCCCUGCUCGCAACUUGCGUACGACACAAAACACACAAAUAUUCAACUUAUGACACGAACACUGCAUCUGUGUUGUCAACGCCGACCUCUCCUCGCCUUUGCCUGCCUGCCUGCCUUUGCCUGGCGGCGUGGCCUCUCCUUGGUGCGGUUUCUCAUCUCCUCAUCUCAGGCAGUUCAUGAUUCAGGGUGAGUGAUGGUUUUACAGCUUGCUAGCUAACUGCUAACCGCUAACGACCUAACUGUGUUGCUUGCUGGCAAAUGUGCACACCAAGAGUACGCGUGGCUGAUGUCGUACCGAGAAUUCACAACGGUGCAUCUGUUCACGAUAACAUUUUAAUAUAGAUGGUUAGGAUUUAGGAUUCAUUAGGUCGUCCAGUCUAAUUUAUUUAUUAUGAAUUAAUCAGUCGCUGCGGGAUUUAUAUAUUAUGUAUGAUUCCUCCAGGGCGGGCGGGGACAUCCACAUCGGACAUGCCGUAGGGCCUUCGCAGAGCAAAGAGAGAGAGUGGGAGAGUAAAAGGAGAGAGUGGGAGAGUGAAGGGAGAAAGAUAUAAAGAGAUGCUGAUGAUGAUGCUGAUGAUCAAUUUUUUAUAUGGCUUCCAUUGUCAGCCUUUUUGAUGUUAUCGGUCUAGCUUUCCUUUGCUACCCCCCAUAAGGCCUCCCCGCCUCCCCGAACUCGCCCUUUUCCGUACAUUCGUGAUGUAUCUCUCCAUCGUGGAUCUAGGCGGCGACUUCACGAACGGUAACGGCACCGGCGGAAAGUCCAUUUACGGCCGCACCUUCGCCGACGAGAACUUCAAGUGUAAGUGCGCCUUGUGCGUGUGGGUGUGUGUCUGUGUGUCUUAUGUGCGUGGUUCUGCAUCUCUCGACGUGCGAGGUGGGGGGAAGCGAAGAUGCACAAAGGGCGUUUCUCCCCCCCUCUGACGCGUCAAUCGGUUCUUUACUCAGACUUGACGAGAGCUGGUACGACAGCUUUUGGGGGACUGGUUCUCACCCCCACCCUAACCCUAACCCCCACCCCCCGCCCUUCCUGUCGCCCCACCUAAUACUGGUGCUGGUGCUGGUGCCACCAACCACGACUUUCCCGUUCGCUCGCUCUUCGUGAAUCUGAAGAACCCCUCCCUUUCGUUACCUCUUGCCCGUUGCUUCUGGGACACUGUUGCUUUGCCGCUGCUGGUGCUGCUGGUGCUGGUGCCCCACUUCCCCCCCUCCUCCUCUCCCCCCCUCUCCCCCCCUCCCUGGACCGGGAACGGGGCUUUACAAAACCCUGUAGACCGCCACACCGGCCCGGGCAUCCUGUCUAUGGCCAAUGCGGGCCCGGGUACCAACGGCAGCCAGUGAGUUGUGUUUUGGGUUUUUGGUUUUGGGUUGGGUUGGGUUGGGUUGGGUUGCGAUAUGGGGGCUGUGUGCGUGUGCGUGUACGUGUGUGUGGGGGGGGUUGGAAGCUGUGGAAGAGGCUGUUGGGUUAACAACCUAGGGUUUGGGGAUGAAGAUGAAGGUGGUUGUGUGGCGUGUGAUGCGCGCCCCUGGGAUGGUGAUUGGCGCGCGAAGGGGAGAUGAGGAGGGUUUUAUGAAGUCUGUGUGUAUGUAUGUAUGUAUGUGUAUGCGAGUUCACGGUUAUGUGCCUCCGGUUAGUGUUUCGGGGGGGGGAGGUCUCAUUUGCUUGUUCUUCUUCAUCCCCUGCAGGGUUCUUGCCGCUGUAUAUUACCCUGAUGUGCUUUAUAACACAAUCACUGGCCUGUUAUCACCAACAACAACACGCGCAUACUCGCACGGUGACGAGACUUCCAUUCGAACACACGGCGCGGAAUGCACGGCGCGGAACUGCAUAUAUGGACGUGGACAUACAUACCAUACAUUCCGCGCCAUAUAUGUGUGCGCGCAGGUUCUUCAUCUGCACCGUCCCCACUCCCUGGCUCGACGGCCGUCACGUGGUCUUCGGUGAGGUGGUGGAGGGCAUGGAUGUGGUGGCCAAGGUGGAGGGCUUUCCAACUGGAAGAGGGGACCGACCUGUGGAGCCCAUCACCAUCGGGGAGUGCGGCGAGCUGUGAGGGGGUCAGAAGAUGGAGAUGACGAUGAUGACGAUGGUGGUGGUGGUACUGGUGCAGGAAUAUAACAGAGGUGUGUGAAGAUGGUGGUGAUGAAGAUGGUGGUGAUGGUGAUGGAGGAAUGUAACAAGAAACCUCGGGAUAAAAAGUACAGAAAGAGCGGAGUAAGCUGCGGGGCUCGCGAAGGAGGCGGCCUGCAAAGGGACGAGGAGCCGUUGGUACAGAAGAAGAGUGUUAGAGGCUGUUGUUGACUUUGUCAACUACCCAACAACCCAACGGAGGUAACAGCUCUUUUGAAGGAUCGUGUUGUGUUGUUCUACGACGCGACGAGGAGAAAGGGGAAGCUGUCUGUUUGUCUGUCUGUAAGAGCGUUCAUACUCCACAAGCCCCGGCGCGCCCCGGAGCUGUUCUGCGAAGGUUUGGUGGGGUGGAAUGGAUGGAUGGAGGGGUUUUAGGGUUUCGUGUUGGUGGGGGAGAAGCGGCUUUCGGGGCCCAGCCGGGGAAAUACGAGAAGAUGUGUAUGUGGUGUGGUGUGUGUGUGGGGGGGGAAAACCAGUGUUGGAAAAAAAGGAUUCAUACCGUGUAUUUUGGGCCGAGCCGCAAAAGCCGCUUUUCUCCUCCACAACUCCUUGUGCUUUGACAGACAGCAGGGACGCUUGGUAGCUCAGCUGGCUGUCUGCUAGUUGACGGUGUGGCCUUAAAAAUGCUGAUUGUUGACGAUGGGGGAAUAUAUCAUUGUGCGGGGGCGGAAACGGAAUAUGUGGCAACAUGGUGGCUGGGGACGAGAUGAUAGGAUAGAUAGAAAGCCAGGCGUAGAUCAUCGUUUCGAUUCAUAGUCUGUGCUAUGUUAUGUAUGUGAGACAUGUUUCGGAUCGGCAACAGGGCCUAAACAUCUGUAACGCCGUUUCUUAUUAACAAAUUGCCGCUCGGUAUGUUUCUCUGCGCGACGCCUCGUGACAGUUAGUUAUCAGUUUACCCGUGUGGUGUCAUGUACGGCGCAAAUGUGAAGGACCAGCCGGUAUGCGCACUCGGCGUCACGCCGGCGCCGGUACUCAUCAGUAAAGGCCCCGGCAGGUACGCGUCACUCACUGCUCAUGCAUUAGAACCGAACCCCGGCAGAGGAAGACGGGUUCUGCGGACCUUACCUUAGGGUGCGUCCUAAAUUGAUCAUACUCGGGAGCAGGGUUCUUCAACAGGGUACCCAAAAAUUCCGGUCGUGCCCGAAACCCUUUCGGGGCCCUCCCCGAAAACCUCGUUGUCAGCCUGACAGUUUUUUCGGGCAGCCCGAAACUGUCUGUAGCGGUUUUCGGGGUCAAGUUUAGCUGGAUUCUUUACCGUAACAUGCUAGGACGACUGAAUUAACAGGUGUUUGACUUUAACUUGGAAGAUGGCGCCUGGGAGCAGUCGUUCAGGCAUGUGUGCGAUAUAGCCGCAACGCACAUUUGUUUGACUGGUGACCAAGCGGGCCGUACACUGCAAGCCCGGUUUCAAGGCGCCUUCCGCGCCCGAAAACAUGCAAAUGAACGAUUAAAUAUCUGUCGGUUUUUACCGAAAUUGCCUUCGGGAGCUUCGGCGGGGGCCCCGAAGAAAUGCUUCAAACGGCCCCAAAUCCUUUCGGGAUGCUCGGGGCGCACUAAUUUUCCUUUCGGGCAAAACGGGAAAAUCUCAAAAACUUUCGGGCCCGAAUCGGGGUGAAGAACCCUGUCGAGACUGUCUCGGGCACGAAGACGACUUUGCAUGGCUUGGCUUCCAAAGCCGGAUGGUGUACGAUGCCCAAGCGGUCGUUUCCGUUUCCUCCCAAACGACGCGCGUACAACACGCCAAGAAGGUGGUUCAAGAAGGGAAGAGCACCUCACCCUUUGUCUCUGCUCAGGCAAAAAAUAGUGACAACGACACAAAAAAAUAAUCCAAACAAUAAUCUAUAUAGCAGGGGAAGCUGCAGCAGCAACACAGCAACUAAAAAGUGAGGUGGAAGGCGAAUAUUGUUGACCGAAGUGUCGCCACUACCAGCAACUCGCGCACAAAAGCCGGUCCUGGCGCUCACCUCACCCCCCUCCUUGUCGCACACCACGCGCGGCAGAGCUAACCCAUACGAUUUCCCCUCCCCGACUAACCGUACGAGAUGUCCACCCACCUCUCCUCCACCUCAAUUACAUUGAGACCCCGAAAUUCAGCAGGGAUACACCUCCCUCUCUCUCUCUCUCUUCCUCUCUCUCUCUCCCUUGAAGUCAGCGAGAGUCCCAGUAAUCCGCCAUGGAUGGGGCCUGAAUGAUUGUUAAGAGAUGUGUGUGUAUGUGUGUAUGUAUGUGUGUGAUAUCUAUCAAUUCCCAUGUGAUGGAGUGAAGGAGAUGGAACCGCUACGGUUGGUGAUCGGCAAUCAUAAUCAUUAUCAUGCUCGCUCCUGAUUUUAACUUCCACUGCUACUGCCGCUAGUUCUAACUUUAGGUGUUGUUGCAGCUGCUACAGCUAGAGCUGUUGGUGUCUCAAAUAUCGCCACAUCGACCCGUCGUUGUUUGCGCGAUCGUUGCCCGACGUGACGUGAAUGGUGCAGCAGCCCCAGAGAGCCCUCCAAACCGCAUAACAUACUCCUAAAACCCUAAGACGGGACUGGGGCUUCUUUAAGUGGAUCGGGGAUUCCUCGCACGCGAAAAGGCCUCUCGCAAAGAAUGGUAAGCAGCGCCGUUGGACAACACCCCCCAGCCCCGACAACAACACCCCCCAACUCAUUGUGACUGACCGGUGUCGUACUUAUGCAAGUUGCCUACAUGACACGUCGGAUACGAGUACAAUCGUACACAUCAUAUUUUGGUUGUAGAUAAACAAAUAUGCCUCAAUACUCAUGAUCAUAACAAUUUUAUGCGUGUAUGUGCCAAAUAAACACACAACUACACACACGCCGUCAUCACACGCCGUAGUAGCGUGCUGCUGCUGCUGCUCCACUGCUACCGCAAUCACUUUCUGAUGCAAAAACCCGCAGACAAUGAUCCAUUACUUCAUUACUACUUCAACAAAAGCAUAUAGCGCGACGUGCCCGUACCAAAGAGAGCGCAAAGCGCGACAUACACCUCUAAAUACUCCAAACUCCCCCCUAAGACGACGACGACGAACACGACGACGAAGGCAACGACGGGACUGCAGGGCGGCCCCAGAGGAGUCCCGCGAUGGAGCCUUCAGAGACACUUCAGAGAUCAGACAGGCUUAUAAUGUAUCGUCCCGCUCUGUUGAGCAACAAACCCAACGCCAUGAAAGACCCAACUCACACCUCCUGCUUCUCCCCAAACUCGUAUCAUAUCAUUAUGCAUCAAAUCACCGUCAGUCAACGAAAUUAACGGUAACAGAAGCAUCACGGCCAUCGCUGAGUUACUGGGUAUCGGCCAUUGGCUACCAAUCGGCAGCGUGGGCCGGCGUGGGCUUGGCGACCGGAGGGUGCGACGAAAGCGCCGAAGUGGGAGGCGUCACCACGGCGGGGUACGACGGCAGCGACGACGUUGGCAGCAACGGCGACGACUGAUGACGCCAAGCGGGGGACCCUGACGGCGAAGCAGGCGUUGCGGUGGCGGCGGCGGCGGCGAACGCAAAUCCGGGCUGCUGUGGCUGAAGAGGAUGCCCUGGGUGAUCCAGCGGUAGACUGCCGUACUGCGUCGACGGCUGCGGCGGCUGCACCGGCGGCGGCCCCAAUCUCGCACCCGCGCCAUCCUGCGGUGUCUGAUGUGCUGCUUGAGGCAUCACGCUCAAGCCCGGCGUCUUUGUGCCCAAAUAUAAAGACUGCGACUGUGGCUGCGACUGUGGGAGUGGCGUGGCGGAACCGCCGCUCAAGGGCGAGGGCGUUGACGGCGGGGGCGAAUUUCGCCCGGGGGCCGCUGCCGGCACUGCCGCCGCCCCUGCAGUAGCGUGCGCAGCAGUAGUAGCAGCAGCAGCAGUAGCAGCAGCAGCAGUAGCAGCAGCAGGGCCCUGACCGUACGUCUUGGGUCUGUCGUGGUACUGCUGACGAUGAUUCUGUUGCUGCGACGGCGGUUGAGUAGCUGCGAAUGCCAUUUGGGUGAACUGCUGGCUGUACUGGUGGUUGCUGUACUGGUGCUUGUGGCCUUGAAGGUGUUGAUGUGCCUCACCGGGCGCUAAAAAUGAAGGCUGUUGCUGCUGCUGCUGCUGUUGUUGCUGUUGUUGGUGCUGCAGCAGCUGCUGCUGCUGGGCCUCCAUGGCCGCCUGCUGCUGUUGUUGCUGUUGCCGCUGCGCUGCUUCAUCCUGGCUCAACAAGAACUGCACCCACUGGUCCGCGAGAGAGUCGCCGCCACCACCACUACCGCCGCCGCCGCCCUCUGAGGGUGACCAAGUCGCGGCGGGCCGGCCGCCCACCAGCAUCCGACCCGCACCACUCACCAGCGCCAGGGGGGCACCCGCCACGCGGCUGAGGAGACCGCGGCGGCUGCCGCCCACAAGGCCCAGUACGACACGGUCCUCCUCACUCAUGUUGAGCAUGCGGGCCAUGAGCUGAAGCACCUGUGUGUGUAUGCGUGUACGCGUGUAUGUAUGUGUGUCUUUGGUCUAUCCUAUGUGCGUGUGGGCGUGUGGAUGCGUGUGGGCGUUACAUACUGAUAUGGGUCAAAGCCACCGGGGCCAACCCAAAGGGCUAGUUGAUAAGGGCGGGGCCAGAAGCCAUGAAGGGGGAGAGCUGCUUUGGGAGCCAUGUUGGGAGCCAUCUAUCCCCCUACCCCCCAUCUCCACCACCAUUACCACUACUACCACCACUACCUCACCUCUUUGCUGUGCUGCCGCUGGAAAUACGUUAGUAGCAGUUUGCCCAUGAUCCGGCGGUCCACCAUGCCGUUGGUUUCGGAGCUCAUUGCGGCCGCCUGGGCCACUGCCUGGUCCAGUGCGCGACGUAGCAUGGCGCACUCGUCCGCGGUCCGGGCCUCCGAGGCGGCAGCAGCGGCCAGGGAGGCGCGAGUCUGAGGAGGAAGCGAGGAGCAGGGCUGUUGUGGGUGACAGGAGGGGGAAGAAGAAGAAGAAGAAGAAGACCGGAGGAAAAAGACCGGAGGAAAAAGGUCAAAGGUGAGCAAUGAGAAGAAAACAGUUUUCGUGAGAUCGCGCGGAUUGCUUACAUAGCAUGCAGCAAUAACGCAAACAGUUUUUUUUAUAAAAGCGAUUUUAAUUAUUGCGCUGGCCGGCGCCACCGAUGCCGGUAUUACGCUGACCUGCGUACCGAAAAAGUCACCACCCCCGAAGGUACCACUACACACUAAGUUACUCGUACGCAGCAGACUCGUACCUUUUGUGCCGCAAAGCACACGCACACACGCCAUUGCGUUAAUAAGGGGGAACGGUCCGGAUUCUGACCGUUAGAUAUAACGGCCCUCCAAUGAUGGAGAGUGCUUCGGCGGUCGUUCCCGUUAGGUGCCCCUGGCCAGCGUCAGGCCCGGAUCGAUAUGUAACACAUAAACAUACAUACAUACAUACAUACAUACAUACAUACAUACAUACUGCUCCCAGUCGACCCAGUCGACCCUGACUUCUGCUCCCAGUCGACCCAGUCGACCCGGGUUCAAAUCCGCCUGCCGGCUCCUCGGGUGUUUGAGGAGUGAUGAAAUGGGAGGUGGCCCCCCAUCUUAUGGACGGUGUAGGACGUGAUAAUAUCAACUUGCGAGCUGACCAGGAACUAAGUUGAUGCGCCGUUGAUCCGCUAGAUUUGGUUGGAUGCUGGUGGUGAGUUGCCGAACCCAACGAAUACAUUCUGAAGUCGGAUGGGGCGACGGAUUAGGGUGCCCCUCUAGCAGGGGAGAGCAGGGACUGCCCCGGGAAAGGGGGCCGCUGGCGAAGUUAACCACCCUGUAACAACAUACAUACAUACA
rnacentral:lncRNA from 1 species